CACGUAGGGGGCAAGCGUUGUCCGGAUUUAUUGGGCGUAAAGAGCGUGUAGGCGGCCAUGCAGGUCCGUUGUGAAAACUCGAGGCUCAACCUCGAGACGUCGGCGGAAACCAUCUGGCUAGAGUCCGGAAGAGGAGAGUGGAAUUCCUGGUGUAGCGGUGAAAUGCGCAGAUAUCAGGAAGAACACCCGUGGCGAAGGCGGCUCUCUGGGACGGUACUGACGCUGAGACGCGAAAGCGUGGGGAGCGAACAGG
rnacentral:rRNA from 1 species